rnacentral:rRNA from 1 species
UACAGAGGGUGCAAGCGUUAAUCGGAAUUACUGGGCGUAAAGGGCGCGUAGGUGGGAGUCUAAGUCAGAUGUGAAAGCCCUGGGCUUAACCUAGGAAUUGCAUUUGAUACUGGGCUGUCUAGAGUGAGGUAGAGGGUAGUGGAAUUCCCGGUGUAGCGGUGAAAUGCGUAGAUAUCGGGAAGAACACCGGUGGCGAAGGCGGCUACCUGGACCUUAACUGACACUGAGGCGCGAAAGCGUGGGUAGCGAACAGG